GUAGCGGCGAGUGGAGCGGCUAAAGCUCAAAUUUAAAAUCCUCCGGGAGUUGUAAUUUGUAGACUUGUUUUAGGUGACUGAUUAAAAUUUGUUGGAAUACAAUACCAUAGAGGGUGAUAGUCCCGUUAAAUCUUAACCAAUUGUAAAACAAAGUCAAAGAGUCGAGUUGUUUGGGAAUGCAGCUCAAAGUGGGUGGUAAACUCCAUCUAAAGCUAAAUAUUGGCGAGAGACCGAUAGCGAACAAGUACAGUGAUGGAAAGAUGAAAAGAACUUUGAAAAGAGAGUGAAAUAGUACGUGAAAUUGUUGAAAGGGAAGGAUUUAUUGAUAGACAUGAUUUACUAGAACAAACUUCCUUUGGGUGGUUGUACUCUAGUAACAUCAGGUGAAUUUUUAUGAAAUGGGAAUGAGAAAACUUUUGAAAUGUGGCUCCCUGCGGAGUGUUAUAGUCAAAGGAAAUAGUUCCACAAUUUAUAUGAAUUCACAUAAUAUUAAUAAAUCACCCGUCUUGAAACACGGACCA
rnacentral:rRNA from 1 species